GACGAAAGCUGGCGGCGUGCUUAACACAUGCAAGUCGAACGCAGUGGCGAACGGGUGAGUAAGGCGUAAUCAACCUGCCCUUCAGAGGGGGUCAACAGUUGGAAAGGACUGCUACUCCCGCAUACUGAAGGAGGGGAUUGCGUCUGAUUGGCUAGUUGGAGGGGUAACGGCCCACCAAGGCGAUGAGCAGUAGCCGGUCUGAGAGUAGGGACGGCCACAUUUGGACUGAGACACGGCCCAGACUCUUAGUGGAGGCAGCAGUGGGGACGCUGCCGAAAUGGAGGAAAGUCUGACGGAGCAACGCGGUGUGAGUGAGGACGGCAUUUGGGUGGUAAAGCUCUGUUAAUCGAGACGCGGGACCGGAAUCGAAGGCCACGGCUAACUCCGUGCCAGCCGCCGCGGUAAUAC
rnacentral:rRNA from 1 species